UUUAAUUAUUCUAAAUGAACUUGUUUUCAAAAUACUUUUUCACUUUUUAUGUAUAAAGCCUAACUAGAAAAAAAGUCGUUAAUUUCUUGACCAUGUUUGAACAUUUGGCAAGUGCUCUCCGCCAUUUGUUCCGAGUACUCUCGGAACGUCUCGGGUUAAAACAAUGGACCUUUUAACGCCAGCGUGUUGCCUUUUAGGAAUCAAAGCCAUUUUAUGAGCAAAAGUCGUCCCCAUUCCCAAUUGGAAAUAAGUUCACUUCAGCAGCUGUCCAAAUUAUGAUCCCAAUUAGUAUAGCAGUAUUUUUCCCCAACUGGUAAGAUAGUCAGGCCUCCAUGUUUACAACCGGGAUGCUCACCCCACAUUUACAAUUGUGACCCACAUUUACAAAUGUGACAUCAUAGUAUCACUCUCGUUUGGCUUUUCGGAUAUUAUCAGUAUUGAUGCUGUCAGGAGUGAACAACCAUAUAUGUAUCUGCCAGUUUGUAAAUGAUGGCAAGGACGAUGCAAACUCCACCAUAAACUCAGAGUGUUUAAUGGAAGGGAAUACCUAUGAUUGUUUGCUAAGAGAGACAUUGUGGUUGGGGAAGAGAUACUUCAUGUAUAUGACUAUGGUUGUGAUGGGAAAAGCUUGCGGUGGCGCAGCAAGUUCCCUCUGAUGUGGAUUCUGACCCAUUUAGUGUAUCAAACUACUCGCCAAGUUCUGAUUCUGAAUCAGAUGAAAAUAAGAAGGUUUUGGAGUCCACCCCAAAUUCAUUGAGAGCUAGCCGCAACACAAUGGAAAAACAGGGCAUCUUGACCCUCAGAGAAAACAGUGAGCAUUUUGAAGCAGAGCCCACCCCAGUUUCAUUGAGAUCUAGCUGCAACACAAUGGAAAAACAGGACAGCUUGACCCUAAGAGUCCACCCCAAAUUCAUUGAGAUCUAGCCGCAACACAAUGGGAAAACGGGACAUCUUGACCCACAGAGAAAACACUGAGUAUUUUGAACAAGAGUCCACCACAGAUUUAUUGAGAGCUAGCCGCAACGCAAUGGAAAAACAGGACAUCUUGAACCUCAGAGAAAACAGUGAGCAUUUUGAACAAAUUCCAUACCAUUGUUUCCCUCUCUCAGUUCCUGUGAUGAAAGAAGUCAACUUGAUAGGGUGAGUGUCGGAGUUACAUGUGCACAAUCCUAAAGUUCCAAGUACAGCACCUGAAUCACAUGUGACUGAAGAAGAUUUGAUGUCCAAACCCUGCGAGAGUGGAAAUGCAAAUGCAUCGGAUGUUACACCACAAGAGUGCUUCUUUGAGAUCGAAGAUGAUAAUGGAACUAAAGUUCUUGCAAGCCCAGUUGCAGCCAAGAAAACUAAAAGCAGCUUAGG